ACUUUUCUAAAGCACAAAAUCCCAACUUAUUUACACUGAAAACAUUCAUAACCCAGUUCUGACUUUGACCCGAAACAACAUCAAUCGCACAACAUUGACAACAAUCAAUCCAAUCAAUUUUAUGAUUCUAACAACAACAAUUCAUCAUUCACACAAUCCAACAAUUAAAAAAAAAAUACCAUAACGGUCAUGAACAUAGAGAAGAAGAACAUAAAAAACCUACAUGACAUAAUCUACCCACCAUCAUCAU
rnacentral:lncRNA from 1 species